GUGGGGAAUAUUGGGCAAUGGGCGAAAGCCUGACCCAGCAACGCCGCGUGAGGGAAGAAGGUUUUCGGAUUGUAAACCUCUGUCCUUGGUGACGAACACAAUGACGGUAGCCAAGGAGGAAGCCCCGGCUAACUACGUGCCAGCAGCCGCGGUAAUACGUAGGGGGCAAGCGUUGUCCGGAAUGACUGGGCGUAAAGGGCGUGUAGGCGGCCGAUUAAGUCUGGAGUGAAAGUCCUGCUUUCAAGGUGGGAAUUGCUUUGGAGACUGGUUGGCUUGAGUGCGGAAGAGGCAAGUGGAAUUCCUAGUGUAGCGGUGAAAUGCGUAGAUAUUAGGAGGAACACCAGUGGCGAAGGCGACUUUCUGGACUGUAACUGACACUGAGGCACGAAAGCGUGGGUAGCAAACAGGAUUAGAAACCCCAGUAGUCC
rnacentral:rRNA from 1 species